rnacentral:tRNA from 1 species
AUUUAAAUAGCUUAAAUUUAGAGCGUGACAUUGAAGAUGUUAAAGUGAUUAUUUUAAUCUUUAAAUA